GACUGUACGCAGGUGGCUCCCCUUUGGAAUGAUAUAACAGUUGGUUCACUGCCAAGUGGAAAUGAUAAUUUUCGUCACUGGUUGUUUACUCAUUUGUCACAGGAUACUCUAGAGGUGGUAACAAGAUGGGUGGCGAUCUGUUGGAGUAUAUGGAAGGAAAGAAAUGAAGUGGUUUGGAACAACCAAUCAUGGCUUAUCUCUAGGGUAAGGUAUGCUGCCAUUAGAAUGUUUAAUGAAUGGAGUGAUAACAUGCAUGGUGAAAGUGUUACUGUUGAACCCAAUUCCCAUAAUGUACUUACAGUCCAAGAUACAGUGAAGCGAAGAGUGGUCCGCUUCGAUGCCUAAACGAUCCCCAUCUGGCUGAGGCGCUUGCUGUGAAGGAAGCCCUUUCUUGGUCAAGAGAGAAAGGUCUCACAAGAAUUCAGGUUUUUACUGAUUGUCAAGUUGUUUGCGGGUUUAUUAAUGGCGCUUUCCAAGAUCUUUCAUACGCAGGAUGUGUAAUCCGUGACUGUCGUGAUCUUCGUCGACACUUUGAAGUGGUGUCUUUUAGUUACAUUUCUCGGUCAGUGAAUAAGUUAGCCCACGCUCUUGCGAGGGAUGCUCGUUCUCAUACUGGCGUUUCUAGUUGGUCUAUUUCUAUUCCCAGUUGUAUUGCACACUUAAUUUAAUACAAGCUUUUCCUUUAGUUUUCA